rnacentral:lncRNA from 7 species
CAGUACCUAAAACCACAUGGGAAGUGCGACGAUGGUACCUGCUGUGUGACCACUGGAUUUUCCUGUUGAAAUUCCCAUUCCUGGUUCCUAUGCAGGGCCGCUUCACCUCCACGCACAUGUAAGGAUAGAAGUGAGAGCAAGGUCCAUUCUGAGCUGAACACCAGUGAGGCACCAUGCUUAAGUAAUUGUUUCAGUCUUCUGAGUAUUCACUGUACGUUUCAAGAAGAGUUGUUUAUGAGAUCAUGAAAUCAGCGCAUCCUGAGGCCAGCUGUAACUUAGAAAGUACCAUAAUCAGAUGGAAGUAUCCUUAAGUUGAGCCAGUGAGUCUGUAGGGAGCAUUGCACUGCAACUUAAACGUCCGUAUGUGCAGCAAACCUGAACCCCUCUGUGAAAUGGGAGAGUGAAUGGUAGCAUUUAACUGCUCAUAAACCACGGACAUUAUUUUAUAGGAAAAUGUCCAGGUGGCAAACCUGCCCCUCUCUGAACACCCUGGCAGCUCCAUCACUGAAGCCAGUCCUUGAACCCCGAAUUAUGACUGGAUAAACAUAUUUGUAUACAUCGUCUUCAGAAGUGCUGUCAGCAGGGGACUGCAGCAGCUCUCUGAGCUCAUCCAGAGACUGAUUGGAAUUCCCUGCUCAUAGCAUUUGCAGGUUCAAUAUCAUUAUUGUUAAUGGUCACUGUGUGUGUGGCUCCAGAUGAAAACAGCCACCACGUGUUGGAUUGCCCACAGCCAAGCCAUCCCAGCACCACGCUCUUGCUGUGCCAAGCUGAGUGUGAGGACAUGGCACACCGGCCCUGCCGUGUCAGUGGUGGGGAUGCACACUGCAAUGAAGUGUCAAGCUGCUUCCACAGGCUGCUUGGAGAGCACAGCUUCAUUUCUCACUAUGGAAACAGUACAGCCAAAGGUCAGUGGAAGAAGUAUUAUCCUUUCAUGCAUUUGUAUGUGGUUGGGUUUUUUUGCUUUGAAUAUGUCAGAGAUGCACAAAGGCAUUGAGAUGCCCAGGAGUACAGAUGGAUAUUUGUUGGGAUUUAGGUAUGUGGCCCUGUGUUUGUGCUUAGCAUAUCUGGAAUGUUUUAAAUGCAUACUGCUGUUUCCCAGUCUGGCUCUUGAACAUUGUAUUGCAAUUUAAAACGUGCGUCAGACUUCAAUAGAUACACACAGUUCAUGUAAAGAUAGUUUUUCCUUAUAAACACGUCUUUACUCAAUAUGGUUGACAGUCUUGGUUCACCAGAGUGCCUAAAAGAAAGCCAUAAUAAUCAGCUGUGUAAAAGUGAUUUUGUAGUACAGAUUGGCUUGCUGGGACUGAGAGAGUGUUUUGAUUGUUAUUUUCUCAGUGGAAUAGAUUGAUGUGACAUCUGAAAUGACAAUCAGGAAUAGAUUCUGAACUGCCACCUUCGUCUCUUAAUUAGUACGAGUAAUUCUUUUGAACAAAAUAUGGUUAUCAUCGAGUUCAUUCUGUCCCAGUGAGAUUAAAGAGUGCUUAAAUUUCACUUCUUUUUCCUGUCCCAGGGGUGGGAUAAUCCCUGUAAUUACAUCAUAUUAUCCACUGUUAUUCAUGUAUCAUCUCUAGUGAUACUGGGAUCUUCUGCAGAUCACUUUGAGUAUAUUAGACAAGCCUUGCCAAUACACUUCUCACUCAACAGCUGAAGAUUGCUCUUGUGGAAGUUGCUACUUUGAGUGAUAUAAAGCUCUCCUCAUUGCUUGUUAAGUGUAUGAAAAUACUGUUAUAUUCUGGGCCUUGCUAUAUUCAAAAUAUUAAAAAUACUGGGUGUAUGAAGUU